rnacentral:lncRNA from 1 species
UUUGAUCGAUUGAUUAAGAAUGUUGUUGAUUAGCUUUAUCUUAGUCAUUCCAUUAAGUUUCACGCAUAUCUGAUCUUUCCAGUAAUUGGUCGUUUAGACGAUCGUGAUCUAGGGAGAUUUCGCAGCCUUUAAAAACAAUUUUAAAAAGCGCCAAAUGUUUUAAUAUGUGAUCUAUUCACCCCCCUUUCUAGAUCGGUACUAUCGUCUAACACUGCAUACGCAGUACAUAUUGACUCAAGGCUCA